rnacentral:rRNA from 1 species
GAUGAACGCUAGCUACAGGCUUAACACAUGCAAGUCGAGGGGCAGCAUGCAGGUAGCUUGCUAUCUGUGAUGGCGACCGGCGCACGGGUGAGUAACGCGUAUCCAACCUUCCCCGUAGUAGGGCACAGCCCGGCGAAAGUCGGAUUAAUUCCCUAUGUUCUCCAAUGCAGGCAUCUAAGUUGGAGCAAAGAUUCAUCGCUAUGGGAUGGGGAUGCGUCUGAUUAGGUUGUCGGCGGGGUAACGGCCCACCGAGCCUGCGAUCAGUAGGGGUUCUGAGAGGAAGGUCCCCCACAUUGGAACUGAGACACGGUCCAAACUCC